GCUUCACCAUGGAGAAGACGCCCCUCAAACUCAAGCUGAAACUGGGCGGCAGCGGCCCGGCCACGCCCGAACAGCAGUCGAAGGGCUGUUCCCCCGCACACCCAACCAUCAUCUCCAACAUGGCUGACGAGGACGCCGCCCAUCCCACCCCGGCCGCCGCCUCGGAUGAUGACGGCGAGGAGGAGGAGCCGACGGAGGAGGUCCAGGGGGAAGAUGAACACCAGGCAGAGGACGAGAGCCCCAAGGUCCGCUCACGACACCACCACGAUGAAGGGUCAAGGGAGAAGCACAAGAAAUCCAAGAAGAAGAAGAAGAAGAAGGAGAGAGAGAAGGAUAAGGAGAGACACAAACAUCGUCAUCACCGCGAAAAAACGGAGGUUGUGGGCGAGGAGCCGGUUGUGGAGGAGCAGCCGCCCCCCGCCAAGAAGCCUCACCUGGACGCAGCGGUGACGGCCCCCAGCAGAUCCUCCCCCGUGCCUGAGCCCACCCUGACUCCACACAAGGACAAGGAAGCAUCCUCGGCGCUGACGCAACUAUUGGAACACCUGCUGGGCCUGCUGGAAAAGAGGGACCCACAGCAGUUUUUCGCCUGGCCCGUGACAGACGCCAUCGCCCCUGGGUACUCGUCCAUCAUCUCCCAGCCUAUGGACUUCUCCUCCAUGAAGACCAAGAUUCAGGAGGGCGCGUACACCAACCUCAAGCAGUUCCAGGCUGACUUUGACCUGAUGUGUAACAACUGUAUGACCUAUAACCAGCCAGACACCAUCUACUACAAGGCGGCCAAGAAGCUGUUACACGCUGGGCAGAAGAUGAUGACCCCUGACAAGGUCCUGCACCUCAAGCGUGACGUUCCCCUCAUGACCCUGCUCACCAAGGACCAGCUUGGCUUUGAGGUGUCAGCGUCCUCAGCCGGGGGAGGCACAGAGGGAGACGACACUCUUGACAUGGAGCCCCUGGAGUCCAUGGACGAAGAUGGGGACAGCAAGGAUCCCCACUGCAAGUUUGAAGCAGUGCAGGACAACCUGAGUGCAGAGGAGCUGCUGGAACAGGUGCAGGGGGCCGCCAGCGAGGCAGCAGAGAAACUAACCCUCAAGAGGCCAUCAAGCACGCUUGGGUUCCUGAGGCAGCGAGGGGAUGGCACUACCUCCCUGAGUUUCCUGACAGGCUGUGAAGGCGCUGGGGACCCCAAUUCUAAAGAAAAGCCUGUGAGUCUCGGCCUGCUGACAGGGAAGAUCACACAGGGCUCCGCCACCCUCCACAACUAUCGAGAGGACAAACGGAGUCUUGCCAAGCCCAUUAAGCCGGUGUACUAUGGGUCUUACUCCUCCUUCUGCCCAACCUACGACUCGACCUUUGCCAAUCUCAGCAAAGAGGAGAGCGAGAUGGUGUACGCUACUUAUGGAAACGAGACUGCCGUGCAAUAUGCCAAGAGCAUCGUGGACUUCUCCCAGGACUGCGAUAUGGCCAUGCAUUUAGUGGACCAGCUCCUCAACCUUCUGACACACCAGCAGCACAGCCGGACCACCACGGCCAUCACCAACCGACGACGCCUGGAGGAAGAGGAGGAGCGGAUCUCUGCCCUGCUCUGCCCCCCAAGUGAGGCGGGAGGUCAGGCAGGAGCCCAGGACCAGAAACCCAACCCAAACAUAGACUUUGGGGCGCUGAAGAGCCUCAACGAGCUGGGGAUCGACACAUCCUUCAUCAGUCACUUUGAGGACCAGGAAAAAUGUGACACCCAAAUCAACUCCCAGCUUGAGGAAAACGCAACUCUCCUUGAGCAACUGUCCCAGGAGCAACACGAACGCCUCUCCCGCCCGCUGCCGGCCUCCCUCAACAACUUGCCACCUCCAUCCCAGCAGGAACUCCAGCUGGUGGAGAAAGUGACUGAUGGACUGACCCAGGUGGCCAAGCAGGCUUCCCCUGGCUCCCUGGCACCUGUCCCCAUUGUGCGUCGGGCCAUGGGCAUCACUGUCCUGCCAGUAACCUCUGAUCCAGCCAACAGUAGUAUUGAGGUAUGAGGUGCGAGGUGCCAUCCAAUGUGGUGAUGGUGAGAGAAGCUUCUGAGGUGACGGUGGAGCCAAAUUGUGGUGCUUUGAGGAAAGUUUUGUAACCGUAGUGAAGUGUUUGCUGGCUUGUCCGUUGGGUGGCAAGUUGUAAGGCUGUGUCGUGGGCAUUCAGUAGUUCUGCCAUGAUGGUGGAGGCCGCGAUGGCAUGUAUAUCCAUGACCUGAUUUAAGGAAUCUGUUAUUGGUAAUGAUUUUAAGAUUGCAACUACUCCAGAAAGUGAAAAAUUGGAGAUAAUGCCGAACAAGUCUUGGUAAAGAGACGAUGAUUGUGAAUGUAAUAUUUAUGUUAGCGAUGAAGUGUUCUGUUGGUGCACGGGGGCAGGGUUACCAAAUUAUCGGAUUCGGACAUUCAGUACAUCAUAUUUUCCGGUUUCCGAGUCACGGCUAUCGCAAACACGCCAAUGAGUAACGCUUUUAACGAGAACUUUACCUGGAAUUUCGUUAUCUGUGUGGGUAGGAAAGAUUUGGGCCCUGAAACUGAUGAACGCGAUGUUUAGAAUUUCGUUAUCUGUGUGGGCAGGAAAGAUUUGGGCCCUGAAACUGAUGAAUGCUGUGUGGGCAGGAAAGAUUUGGGCCCUGAAACUGAUAAAUGCGAUGUUUAGAAUUUCGUUAUCUGUGUGGGCAGGAAAGAUUUGGGCCCUGAAACUGAUGAAUGCGAUGUUUAGAAUUUCGUUAUCUGUGUGGGCAGGAAAGAUUUGGGCCCUGAAACUGAUGAACGCGAUGUUUAGAAUUUCGUUAUCUGUGUGGGCAGGAAAGAUUUGGGCCCUGAAACUGAUAAAUGCGAUGUUUAGAAUUUCGUUAUCUGUGUGGGCAGGAAAGAUUUGGGCCCUGAAACUGAUGAACGCGAUGUUUAGAAUUUCGUUAUCUGUGUGGGCAGGAAAGAUUUGGGCCCUGAAACUGAUGAACGCGAUGUUUAGAAUUUCGUUAUCUGUGUGGGCAGGAAAGAUUUGGGCCCUGAAACUGAUAGAUGCUAUGUUUAGAAUUUCGUUAUCUGUGUGGGUAGGAAAGAUUUGGGCCCUGAAACUGAUCAAUGCGAUGUUUAGAAUUUUGUUAUCUGUGUGGGCAGGAAAGAUUUGGGCCCUGAAACUGAUAGAUGCGAUGUUUAGAAUUUCGUUAUCUGUGUGGGCAGGAAAGAUUUGGGCCCUGAAACUGAUAAAUGCGAUGUUUAGAAUUUCGUUAUCUGUGUGGGCAGGAAAGAUUUGGGCCCUGAAACUGAUAAAUGCGAUGUUUAGAAUUUCGUUAUCUGUGUGGGCAGGAAAGAUUUGGGCCCUGAAACUGAUAAAAGCGAUGUUUAGAAUUUCGUUAUCUGUGUGGGCAGGAAAGAUUUGGGCCCUGAAACUGAUAAAAGCGAUGUUUUGAAUUUCGUUAUCUGUGUGGGCAUGAAAGAUUUGGGCCCUGAAACUGAUGAACGCGAUGUUUAGAAUUUCGUUAUCUGUGUGGGUAGGAAAGAUUUGGGCCCUGAAACUGAUAGAUGCGAUGUUUAGAAUUUCGUUAUCUGUGUGGGCAGGAAAGAUUUGGGCCCUGAAACUGAUAAAUGCGAUGUUUUGAGUACGAUAAUUUGGAAACCCUGGCACUGGGGCAUCAAGUGUUGUAGUGGUAUGUGCUGUGCAGUAUAUUGGCCGUCACUAAGGUGUUGAAGACAGGCUCGCUGGUGGAAACAGAGGUUGGUAUUGUCAGAUGCCCGCACACCUACUAUUCCAAAGGCAAAAAAGGAGUUUAAUCGAGUUUUAAUGAGUGUUCUUUUAGGUUCACGGUACAGAAGAAGGCUCAGACUACCACCAGGGUCAUAAGAGUACCCCUGGAAAUGCCCUAAACUCCCACGAAAGACUAGUAAAUUACGUGUUCUUGGUUCUAAUGAGUGUUCUGUUAGGUUCACGGUACAGAAGAAGGCUCGGACUACCACCAGGGUCAUAAGAGUACCCCUGGAAAUGCCCACAACCCCCAUGAAAGACUAGUAAAUUACGUGUUCUUGGGCAACGAAAUGUCUUUUAAUACGACCCUAAAAUAAGGUUGGUAGGUAUUGUCAAAUGUGUUCGUUCUUUCGAGUUCUCGAGUUCUAAUGAGUGUUCUUUUAGGUUCACGGUACAGAAGAAGGCUCAGACUACCACCAGGGUCAUAAGAGUACCCCUGGAAAUGCCCACAACCCCCACGAAAGUCUAGUAAAUUACGUGUUCUUGGGCGCAGAAAUGUUUAAAAAUGUGGCUUUGAGAGAAUGUUUAUGGUGAUGGUGGAGGCAUUUUAGGACAGGAAUGCCACCGAGAGAAAGCCCUGUUCUCUGUUUACACCUUUCCUUAGUUUAUGAUUUUGCAUUUUCCUGCCUUAAUUUCACCACUCCUCCCUCCCUCCCUGUGCACUGUCUUGCCUCAGUGAGAAAGGACUUUACUGUAACACCCAGGUUGACAUUGAGGCCAGAUGGGGGCAGGACAAGACCAUCUCCACCACAGUUCCUCCCCAGCCCACCACCACAGCAGUGCAGCAGGUCACUGGCACAGCUCCACAGCAGAAGCAGCUGGAGCCACAAACAGCAACCAC